GUUUUGCAAACCGUAUCUACUGCCCGCUAUAAAUUACAGUAACGCACUUGCCAGACGUGUCCUUCGUUAACUGAUUGGCUAACUCAUAACGAAGCUUGUAUAAUAUAUCGUCACGGUGUAUUAUUUCAAAGAAACAUGUGGAAUGAAUAUAUUCUGCAUUGCAUAUGAAUAUACUGACAACGUAUGGCCGAAAAAAAACUAGGACAUUCUGUAUAUUUCCAAUAGGCGACCGAAAGGGUACAUGUCAGAAUUAUUAGUUUUGCAGAGAAGUAUUUAUAAUACUUAAAGUUAUUUAAGAUCAGGUAUCAAAUUUUAGAUAUAAUAUUAACACCUCAA